rnacentral:rRNA from 1 species
CCUACGGGAGGCAGCAGUGGGGAAUAUUGGACAAUGGGCGCAAGCCUGAUCCAGCCAUGCCGCGUGAGUGAUGAAGGCCUUAGGGUUGUAAAGCUCUUUCAGUAGGGACGAUAAUGACGGUACCUACAGAAGAAGCCCCGGCUAACUUCGUGCCAGCAGCCGCGGUAAUACGAAGGGGGCUAGCGUUGUUCGGAUUUACUGGGCGUAAAGCGCACGUAGGCGGAUCGUUAAGUCGGGGGUGAAAUCCUGGAGCUCAACUCCAGAACUGCCUUCGAUACUGGCGAUCUUGAGUCCGGAAGAGGUGAGUGGAACUCCUAGUGUAGAGGUGGAAUUCGUAGAUAUUAGGAAGAACACCAGUGGCGAAGGCGGCUCACUGGUCCGGUA